AGAGUUUGAUCCUGGCUCAGGACGAACGCUGGCGGCGUGCCUAGUACAUGCAAGUCGAACGAGACUUUCCUCGGUGGUAACACCUUUGAUUGUCUAGUGGCGAACGGGUGAGUAACACGUGAGAAACCUGCCCUGAAGACGGGGAUAACAGAAGGAAACUUCUGCUAAUACCCGAUACCCCCACCGGAUCGCAUGGUCUGGUGAGGAAAUGGAUUCCGCUUCAGGAGGGUCUCGCGGCCUAUCAGCUUGUUGGUGAGGUAAUGGCUUACCAAGGCUUGGACGGGUAGCUGGUCUGAGAGGACGAUCAGCCACACUGGGACUGAGACACGGCCCAGACUCCUACGGGAGGCAGCAGUAAGGAAUAUUGCGCAAUGGGCGAAAGCCUGACGCAGCAACGCCGCGUGCGGGAUGAAGGCCCUCGGGUUGUAAACCGCUUUCAGUAGGGAAGAAAAUGACGGUACCUACAGAAGAAGCCCCGGCCAACUACGUGCCAGCAGCCGCGGUAACACGUAGGGGGCGAGCGUUGUCCGGAUUUAUUGGGCGUAAAGAGCUCGUAGGCGGUUUCGUAAGUCGGAUGUGAAAACUCCAGGCUCAACUUGGAGACGCCAUUCGAUACUGCGAUGACUUGAGUCCGGUAGGGGAGUGUGGAAUUCCUGGUGUAGCGGUGAAAUGCGCAGAUAUCAGGAGGAACACCGGCGGCGAAGGCGGCACUCUGGGCCGGUACUGACGCUGAGGAGCGAGAGCGUGGGUAGCAAACAGGAUUAGAUACCCUAGUAGUCC
rnacentral:rRNA from 1 species